rnacentral:rRNA from 1 species
GUCCACGCCGUAAACGAUGAAUGCUAGGUGUUGGAGGGCAAAGCCCUUCGGUGCCGCCGCAAACGCAAUAAGCAUUCCACCUGGGGAGUACGUUCGCAAGAAUGAAACUCAAAGGAAUUGACGGGGACCCCGCACAAGCGGUGGAGCAUGUGGUUUAAUUCGAAGCAACGCGAAGAACCUUACCAAGUCUUGACAUCCCCCUGACCGGACAGUAAUGUGUCCUUUCCUUCGGGACAGGGGAGACAGGUGGUGCAUGGUUGUCGU